UACAGAGGUGGCAAGCGUUGUUCGGAAUUACUGGGCGUAAAGGGCGCGUAGGCGGCCUUCUAAGUCAGACGUGAAAUCCCCCGGCUUAACCUGGGAACUGCGUCUGAUACUGGGAGGCUUGAGUAUGGGAGAGGGAUGUAGAAUUCCAGGUGUAGCGGUGAAAUGCGUAGAUAUCUGGAGGAAUACCGGUGGCGAAGGCGGCAUCCUGGACCAUAACUGACGCUGAGGCGCGAAAGCUAGGGGAGCGAACAGG
rnacentral:rRNA from 1 species